UCAGUGCCAGGUGAUAAGGUGGCCUAAUUCUCAGUGACCCAUCCCAAUUUGCUAUGAUCAGGUAACCUGGUCUGACAGAGCUCUCCUAAUGGAACUGAUCCCUCAGUCCCUGAAAAAACUGACUGCCUGAGGCUAUUUGCCAAACAGACUUCUCACAGUUGGACAGUGCAGCAGGUUAAAUGAUGGCUCCCCGAAAAAGGAGGUGUGUGCCAACUGCUGGACAUUUGAAAAUGGCUGCUGACAUUGUCAAACAUCCCCCGAGGUUUAGGAUUAUGAGUCUAAGAAGAGAUCCAGUAAGAGAAAGAAAGAAAAUGCCUUCACUUUCACGUUUCUCUGCGCCCACCGUCACCCACAUCCAGUCAGCACAAAGACUGAGGCAAUAAACCCACUCCACAAAAGUUCCUGGAAUCCAGGCUUGUCAGAGUCAGACUGCUUGAAAUAUGCAGUUCCCCUCUGGAAGAUUUGUUCCUCAUGAACCCAUGCUUUACUAACUGUCAAUUGGAGAAGCAAAGGCAGGAGUCAAGACCGUGUUCUUGGCAUCUAUCUUCUGAGGAUACCGUGCUGCCGCACGAGGGAUUAAGGAUCCCAGGUCAUUUGCAACGGCAGUGUUUUAGCAUGACCCGCAAUGCCUACUUGCCAGAGAGCAGCAGCCCUUCACCAGGACCGACGAAUUAGAGACCGAGGCCUGCUGCUCCCGAAGCCCCAGCUUCCUGGUCAGAGGCCUCUGGUUACCAUCCGUGGCACUGCUGAGGGCCUGUUUAGAAACAACGAUGCUGUCUGGGCUAUGAGCUAUGGCACUAAACGUUUACGCAGAGACCUCACCCUUAUUUUUGGUAAUAAUUUCCUGUUUUCCAAUGUUCUCUCGCCAAAAAUGUCCACUGUGUAAAACUUCCAGCAGGAGUGCUCGUUGUCACCCUUGGUGUCCUUGACCAAGAGUUGUACAAGGUCCUGGGCUGCACGGGAUUGCUCUGAGACCACUGGAACCCAGGGAGGGGCUGGCUGUGGGUUCUCGAGUUAGUAAGAUACUCAGCAGGGAUUUGGUCAUUUGCAAAUAAUAGAAACGCAACUCAAUCCUAGCUCAGGUGUGCUCAGCCAC